rnacentral:rRNA from 1 species
ACUCCUGCGGGAGGCAGCAGUGGGGAAUUUUGGACAAUGGGCGAAAGCCUGAUCCAGCAAUGCCGCGUGAGUGAAGAAGGCCUUCGGGUUGUAAAGCUCUUUUGUCAGGGAAGAAACGGUGAAAGCUAAUAUCUUUUGCUAAUGACGGUACCUGAAGAAUAAGCACCGGCUAACUACGUGCCAGCAGCCGCGGUAAUACGUAGGGUGCAAGCGUUAAUCGGAAUUACUGGGCGUAAAGCGUGCGCAGGCGGUUUUGUAAGUCUGAUGUGAAAUCCCCGGGCUCAACCUGGGAAUUGCAUUGGGGACUGCAAGGCUAGAAUCUGGCAGAGGGGGGUAGAAUUCCACGUGUAGCAGUGAAAUGCGUAGAUAUGUGGAGGAACACCGAUGGCGAAGGCAGCCCCCUGGGUCAAGAUUGACGCUCAUGCACGAAAGCGUGGGGAGCAAACAGGAUUAGAAACCCCAGUAGUCCCAUGAU